UCAAUUCUGCCUGUAACCAAGGCUGCUAGCAUAUUACAGAAUUCCAGUUUGGGAAGUGUUUCAUCUUCUUUUAUUAAAAGAUUGAGCUGUCUAGAGAUGACUAAGCAAAGAGCAAAGGAGCUUUGCUAUAAUUGUGACAAACUAUAUUCUUAGGCAUCAAUGUAAGAAGUUAUUUUGGUUAGAGAUGGAUGGUGUAGAUGAAGCAACGGGAAAAAGGGACUAGGGUGAUUCAUAAUCUUAUCCUACUAUGGGGGGACAAGCUCUUUCUCCAUGGGGGGAGUGAUGUUAUGGACGCAUUGUGUGAUCCCUGGUUGAAUUUUUUGGAAUUUACUUCCUAUUAUUAUUAGAUAUUAAGUCUUAUUUUAAUCAUAGUUGUUAAAGGCCUGUCUCUGGCUCAAGGCUUGCAAGGCUCGAAAAAUGGCACCUUAUGUGCCUAGGUAAGCGCUUUAUGUGCCUAGGUAUGCACCUUUGUUCUAGGCACAAGGUUCUAAAAAGACUUCUCUUCUUUAUUUUUAUCUUUAGCGAGCACUUUCAUUGACAAAAAGG
rnacentral:misc_RNA from 1 species